GCCUCCGCGAGCGUUUGGUAGUGUGGUAGGUGAGUGGGUGUUGCGGGCUAGUACCCGAGCAAAAGAUGGUGGCGCAGGCCGAGUUAAGAGCUUUAAUCCUGUGAAGCCAUCUUGGUGAAGAGCUUAGAGUGCUGAGAGUUGAAAGCUUGCACGUGGGAAACGUGCGGCGCGACCGCCACAUGUACUGAGGUUGAAUCGUGACGGCCACAGGCUCCGAGUUUUGGCGUGAGGAGACCGCUGAUCGGCUACGGGCGCCGAACUUGCUGGCCUCAGGCAUGUGCCUGAGCGGCGGCGGAAAAACCACCUCAGUUGGGGCGGAGGGUUAGUUUUAAGAGCAAGGGGCCUUUACUAAAAUGGCGAAGGCCUUCCGUCGGCGUUGUUUUAAAAUGGGAAGCCUCGACCCAGUAUUGAGACAGCUGUUCGAAGGCGGCGUUGUGUGCAAUUCGGAUUAAUGAAGGGGAAGGGUUUUGUGUGGAAAAACACCUUGGAGUGUGACAUUUCUGCGAGAAUGCUUAAAUACCGAUUUCCCGCAGGAACAAUGGCGCUGUCUUCAGUGGCACAGCGGAGCAGUUCUGUGAAGAUGCAAAGAUACACGAAAAAAAUUCCAGAACAUCUGGGAGAAUAUUUAAUGGAAAAUCGCUUGGUUAAAACCUGACACUUAACAGGUAUGUGUUGUUUUAGUACUUUAUGAUUGAGCAUAGCAUUUAAUCCACACCUAGACUAAACCGAAUUUUUUUUGUCAUUGAACAGCAUUCUGAGUGUGGACGAGUAGCCAGUGAAGAUAAUGAAUGUCGGAUGUCACUGACUAGCAGCUUCAUUUUGAAUGAGGGUCGCUGUCUGCCCAUUGAUAGAGGCCAGAUUGUCUUGGAAGUUCCAAAGUUGCAACGAUUUCUGGCUAGUGCCACGAGGUUUACUUGACUGUUGUGUGAAAAGCUGAUAAGAAAACCAUCCAGAAAACAGCUCUUCGUUUUACAAACAUGAAAAUAAAACAUGUAAUUUUG
rnacentral:sRNA from 1 species